GCAUGGACAUGGAUUUAUGAUGAGGUCUACCAAGUGACUUCUUCAUAGUGUACCCCAUGCUAAAGUGACCUGCUGCUCCGAACCAUUGGCAGGUCUCUAUACCCAUAGGCCUGAUCACUGAAGUGAGCAGCACAUUC